rnacentral:lncRNA from 1 species
AGAGCUGUCCAUAACCAAGUGAAUGGCAGACGCAUCUGACAGCGAAAACUCAAGCAGACACUGAGAAUGAUACUAUGGUUUAGGAAGAAUGUGUGUUUGGAUUUCUGAGCUAAGGAAUCUGGGAGUGGCCAAUUUGAAGAUUCACUCCUUAUCUAUGAAGGGCGUCUGAAUUUCUGGCUUAUCCCUUGAAAUGCAGCCUGCCACUCCUGGACUGCUCGGUAUUUGAAUCCUCAAUGAACCCUGUGUCUUAUUCACUGGCUCUGGGUAUCUCCUUUGGCCUGGUGGACAUGGUGCCAAACCUAUUAGAGACAACAGGGGUCUGGCUUGACACCAAGCUAUUUCAUGGCCCCAAUAUGCUUCCAAUUAAGUGAGCUUUGCUGGAAAGAAGCUUUUUGGAUUUUUCUCCCCUUUUAUUGUCCUGGUAAUUUGGAUGUGACAAAUUGUGAUGGAUUUGUAUUGUGCCAACUUAGCGAAAAUUGAACUUCAUUUCUCAGAACUCACUUCCCUGCAGAGUUCCAGGUUGACUUGAGCCACAGGGACAUUCUGAGUAAGAUUCAGAAGGUGGAUGUGGGGCAGCAGCCAUGUUGUUUUCUGUGCUGGGGGAGGCCGGAGCCUGCAGGGGGUGAUGCAGCUCACGCACAUUGUCUCUUAUCUGCUGGUUCACUGGGUUGGUGGGGAAGCAGCCAGGCCCACAGUUCCUGGAUCCUCUUUCCGUUCUCUCCACUCCUGGCUCAGAUGCUCGUUAAACUGCACAAUGAAGAGCAUCAGCUACUGCUGCAGGAUUCUCCCAUCAUUGAUGCUGGAGACUUGGAGGCAGUGACAGACCUACGUGAGUUCUGGCCUGUCCUCUUAGUUCCAGCUCAGUCUCUCAGGUUCCCGUUUGUCUUCGCGAUUCUCCACUUCAUGUCCAUCAUCCUUUCCUGCCUAUGUGUCCCAUGGAUGUCAGGUUCUAGCACAAGACACAGAAACAGCGGCCUCAUGUAGACUGUGCCCCCAGCUCCCACCAUUGCGUAGAGUCAAAUCACUAUAUAAAUCCCUUAGGACAUAUAUCUCCUGGUGAUGUUGCCUCUCUUGACUGAAAUGCAGCCCUGACUGAUAUGCAGAUUCUCAGACCUGUUAGCUCAGUUAGUGUGUACACUCUAGUCCAUGUACAGGCAGAGGAGAUGCUGUUAUCCCCAUUUUAUUGAAGAAUAGACAGAUACUUGAGUAAUGGACUCAACUCACAGCAAUAGUAAGUGUUGGAACUCUUGCAAGAACUGGGGCUUUCUGAUUCCUAGCCCUGCCCUCCUUUUGCUAUGCUCUGAGGCUCUCUCUUUCCUUGACCAGUCAACAGCCCCAAAGAUACGGCUAAAGAAUCCCAGAACAUCCACUUCCUCCUGCAAUUCUGUGUCCUACUUUGCAAUGGCCGUACAGGCUGUCACAUUGGGAGGACAACAUUGAGAAAGACCUCUGGGUCCACGGUGCCCUUGACAUUCCUGGGUGGGUGGAAGAAUCUGAAGGACAGUCUGAAGGGUCUUACCACCUGCGUUGGACCCUCUAAAGCCUUCUCCUUUAAGGGGGGUGGACACUCUGCCUGACUCUUUGCUUACCCCUAUUUCUCCUUCUCACAG